UACAGGGGGGGCAAGCGUUGUUCGGAAUUACUGGGCGUAAAGGGUUCGUAGGUGGCUUACUAAGUCAGACGUGAAAUCCCUCAGCUUAACUGGGGAACUGCGUCUGAUACUGGAAAGCUUGAGUGCAGGAGAGGAACGCGGAAUUCCAGGUGUAGCGGUGAAAUGCGUAGAUAUCUGGAGGAACACCGGUGGCGAAGGCGGCGUUCUGGACCGUAACUGACACUGAUGAACGAAAGCCAGGGGAGCAAACGGG
rnacentral:rRNA from 1 species